UCUGUAAAAUCUCGUCUACUCAUAGUGC
rnacentral:piRNA from 1 species